UCGGCUACCACUUACAGAUGGACCCGCGGCGCAUUAGCUGUUGGUGAGGUAACGGCUCACCAAGGCAACGAUGCGUAGCCGACCUGAGAGGGUGAUCGGCCACACUGGGACGAGACACGGCCCAGACUCCUACGGGAGGCAGCAGUAGGGAAUCUUCCGCAAUGGACGAAAGUCUGACGGAGCAACGCGCGUGAGUGAUGAAGGUUUUCGGAUCGUAAAGCUCUUUGUUAGGGAAGAACAAGUACCGUUCGAAUAGGGCGGUACCUUGACGGUACCUAACCAGAAAGCCACGGCUAACUACGGCCAGCAGCCGCGGUAAUACGUAGGUGGCAAGCGUUNUCCGGAAUUAUUGGGCGUAAAGGGCUCGCAGGCGGUUUCUUAAGUCUAUGUGAAAGCCCCCGGCUCAACCGGGGAGGGUCAUUGGAAACUGGGGAACUUGAGUGCAGAAGAGGAGAGUGAAUUCCACGUGUNGCGGUGAAAUGCGUAGAGAUGUGGAGGAACACCAGUGGCGAAGGCGAUCUCUGGUCUGUAACUGACGCUGAGGAGCGAAAGCGUGGGGAGCGAACAGGAUUAGAUACCCUGGUAGUCCACGCCGAAACGAUGAGUGCUAAGUGUUAGGGGGUUUCCGCCCCUUAGUGCUGCAGUAACGCAUUNAGCACUCCGCCUGGGGAGUACGGUGCAAGACUGAAACUCAAAGGAAUUGACGGGGGCCGCACAAGCGGUGGAGCAUGUGGUUUAAUUCAAGCAACGCGAAGAACCUUACCAGGUCUUGACAUCCUCUGACAAUCCUAGAGAUAGGACGUCUUCGGGGGCAGAGUGACAGUGGUGCAUGGUUUCGUCAGCUCGUGUCGUGAGAUGUUGGGUUAAGUCCCGCAACGAGCGCAACCCUGGAUCUUAGUUGCCAGCAUUCAGUUGGGCACUCUAAGUGACUGCCGGUGACAAACCGGAGGAAGGUGGGGAUGACGUCAAAUCAUCAUGCCCCUUAUGACCUGGGCUACACACUGCUACAAUGGACAGAACAAAGGGCAGCGAAACCGCGAGGUUAAGCCAAUCCCACAAAUCUGUUCUCAGUCGGAUCGCAGUCUGCAACUCG
rnacentral:rRNA from 1 species